rnacentral:rRNA from 1 species
UUAAAUUGAAGAGUUUGAUCAUGGCUCAGAUUGAACGCUGGCGGCAGGCCUAACACAUGCAAGUCGAACGGUAGCACAGAGAGCUUGCUCUCGGGUGACGAGUGGCGGACGGGUGAGUAAUGUCUGGGAAACUGCCUGAUGGAGGGGGAUAACUACUGGAAACGGUAGCUAAUACCGCAUAACGUCGCAAGACCAAAGAGGGGGACCUUCGGGCCUCUUGCCAUCAGAUGUGCCCAGAUGGGAUUAGCUAGUAGGUGGGGUAACGGCUCACCUAGGCGACGAUCCCUAGCUGGUCUGAGAGGAUGACCAGCCACACUGGAACUGAGACACGGUCCAGACUCCUACGGGAGGCAGCAGUGGGGAAUAUUGCACAAUGGGCGCAAGCCUGAUGCAGCCAUGCCGCGUGUAUGAAGAAGGCCUUCGGGUUGUAAAGUACUUUCAGCGGGGAGGAAGGUGUUGUGGUUAAUAACCGCAGCAAUUGACGUUACCCGCAGAAGAAGCACCGGCUAACUCCGUGCCAGCAGCCGCGGUAAUACGGAGGGUGCAAGCGUUAAUCGGAAUUACUGGGCGUAAAGCGCACGCAGGCGGUCUGUCAAGUCGGAUGUGAAAUCCCCGGGCUCAACCUGGGAACUGCAUUCGAAACUGGCAGGCUAGAGUCUUGUAGAGGGGGGUAGAAUUCCAGGUGUAGCGGUGAAAUGCGUAGAGAUCUGGAGGAAUACCGGUGGCGAAGGCGGCCCCCUGGACAAAGACUGACGCUCAGGUGCGAAAGCGUGGGGAGCAAACAGGAUUAGAUACCCUGGUAGUCCACGCCGUAAACGAUGUCGAUUUGGAGGUUGUGCCCUUGAGGCGUGGCUUCCGGAGCUAACGCGUUAAAUCGACCGCCUGGGGAGUACGGCCGCAAGGUUAAAACUCAAAUGAAUUGACGGGGGCCCGCACAAGCGGUGGAGCAUGUGGUUUAAUUCGAUGCAACGCGAAGAACCUUACCUGGUCUUGACAUCCACAGAACUUUCCAGAGAUGGAUUGGUGCCUUCGGGAACUGUGAGACAGGUGCUGCAUGGCUGUCGUCAGCUCGUGUUGUGAAAUGUUGGGUUAAGUCCCGCAACGAGCGCAACCCUUAUCCUUUGUUGCCAGCGGUCCGGCCGGGAACUCAAAGGAGACUGCCAGUGAUAAACUGGAGGAAGGUGGGGAUGACGUCAAGUCAUCAUGGCCCUUACGACCAGGGCUACACACGUGCUACAAUGGCGCAUACAAAGAGAAGCGACCUCGCGAGAGCAAGCGGACCUCAUAAAGUGCGUCGUAGUCCGGAUUGGAGUCUGCAACUCGACUCCAUGAAGUCGGAAUCGCUAGUAAUCGUAGAUCAGAAUGCUACGGUGAAUACGUUCCCGGGCCUUGUACACACCGCCCGUCACACCAUGGGAGUGGGUUGCAAAAGAAGUAGGUAGCUUAACCUUCGGGAGGGCGCUUACCACUUUGUGAUUCAUGACUGGGGUGAAGUCGUAACAAGGUAACCGUAGGGGAACCUGCGGUUGGAUCACCUCCUUACCUUAAAGAA